rnacentral:rRNA from 1 species
UAGUGGCGAACGGGUGAGUAACACGUAAGAAUUUGCCUUUAGGACGAGGAUAACUUUUAGAAAUAAAAGCUAAUACUCGAUAUGCCAUCUGGUGAAACAAAGUAAUUUGCCUAAAGAGAAGCUUGCGUCUGAUUAGCUAGUUGGUAGGGUAAAGGCCUACCAAGGCGACGAUCAGUAGCUGGUCUGAGAGGAUGAUCAGCCACACUGGGACUGAGACACGGCCCAGACUCC